rnacentral:rRNA from 1 species
ACUCAAAUGAAUUGACGGGGGCUCACACAAGCGGUGGAGCAUGUGGCUUAAUUCGAGGCUACGCGCAGAACCUUAUCCCGGGCUUGACAUGCACGGAUUAGCCGGCGGAAACGUCGGUAAGGCCGCAAGGUACAACGUGCACAGGUGCUGCAUGGCUGUCGUCAGCUCGUGUCGUGAGAUGUUGGGUUAAGUCCCGUAACGAGCGAAACCCCUGCCCCUAGUUGCCAGCGCGUCAUGGCGGGAACUCUAGGGGGACCGCCGGCGUUAAGCCGGAGGAAGGCGGGGACGACGUCAAGGCCUCAUGGCCCUUAUGCCCGGGGCUGCACACGUGCUACAAUGGGCCGGACAAAGCGACGCAAAACCGCAAGGUCGAGCCAAUCGCAAAAACCGGUCCCCAGUUCGGAUUGCGGGCUGCAACCCGCCCGCAUGAAGCCGGAAUCGCUAGUAAUCGCCGAUCAGCACUGCGGCGGUGAAUGGGUUCCUGAGCCUUGUACACACCGCCCGU